rnacentral:lncRNA from 1 species
AAAUCAUGCCAUUGAAAGCCAGGUCACCUCCCUUGGACCACUGAUUACACCCCUGCGUGGAGGACACAGCCUGGAGUGAACACUGGGACUCACUUUGCUGUUAGCACUUGCGUGAGCUGGCUCAUUACUUGAAUUGUGCUCCUUGUUCUGUCUCUGAGAGGACUGAGCUCCGGGAGAGAACACCAAAGCGAUCGCCAACACCAAACGCAGAGGAGAAUUCUGAUGGCCAAAUUUACAAAUUUACCGGAGAGCAGAGGCUGAAGGCCAGGAGGGAGUCCAGCUAGAAGCAAGUCUCCGAUUUCCCCACUCUCAGCAGGGAGGGGAGAAGACGAGUCUCACCUCUAGGGAAGAGGCCGUGAGAGGACACAGCAAGAAGGCUGCAAGCCAGGAAGAGAACAUGACCCGAAACCAACCCUGAAAGCACUCUGAUCUUGGACUUGUAGUCUCCACAUUUGAGAUAAAAUAAGUUUCUGUUGAUUAUGCCGUGCAGUUUGUGGGAUGCUGUGAUGGUGGACUGAGCAGACUAAGACCAUCACAUGGGUGGACCAAACAGACUAGAACCUGAGGGAGAUGCCUGCCCUGCUUCUAGGGAAGAGGUGAAGGCUUCUCCCCACACUGUGUGCCAGCCUCCUCAUCCCUCUGUGUGAGGGAGACACUGGUCAGACUGAGCACAAAGAGUGGGCCACAUUUAUGAAGUUUCCUGAUCUGUACAACAGCAACAACAAUGGUACCAACCUCACAAUUUUGCGAUGAGAAGUUAACAAGUAAAGAUAAAUAAGCAAAAAUCAAUUGUUCAAUAAUAUUAGCUAUUUUUAUGUUUACAAACAAUUUGUGCCAGUCCCAAAUUUGUAUUCUGCAUUCUGCCAAACUAAAGACCUGAAUCUAUGACUUGUGGAAAGAAAUCUGGGAAUUGUUGACAUUGUAGGUGUGUGUAUAGGCAU